CUAAAUAGAUUGUCGAAUAAUUAAGAAAAUCUUUCACAAACCAUACACAAAUGCGAAAUUAAUAGAAGAUAAAUUAUUCUGAUGGAUUCGAUUAACUAGCUAGAUCUUCCAGUUAGCUAGCCUUAAUAGUACUCAUCCAGAUACGAAGGUCUUCGACAGCAACGCUUGCCUUCCUCCCGAAUAGUUACUUUCGGUGUUUGAUUCUGGCUGAAGCGACCUUCCAUUUUAGUCUUCUUCUUGGGCUUUUUAGCAGACGAGGUCGACGGACCAGGAUCAGAUACAACGACUGGUUUCGUAUUCACCAAAGAAGUCUUUUUCAACUCAUCGAUAUAUUCAGUCGCCUCCUUGCAUUCAAAACUAUCAUCUUCGAACCCGAAAAAUUCGUCAAUGGAUUUUUUCACUGAAACAUCUAGCCCUUCAGACUCCAUGGAUAGCACUUACAAAAUAU
rnacentral:lncRNA from 1 species